GUCUAUGUGAGCCAAGGAAGUAGCGUUGGCACUAUUGAAAUCGUUGCAGAAGCUGUUUCCGAAACAUCGGUAACACUGAAGGGAAUAUACUGGAAAAUAAAUUCUAUCGUCACCAAAAUGCCGAGCCAGUUAAUUAGUCGGAGCACACGGCGUGGAGCAAUGUUAUUUUUGCCUAUCGGAAGCGGACGGUGAGGGUUGUCAUGAUCCUGUGAACCUGAACGCCACAAGAAUUCACAAUUGUGCCGAAAAUACUUUGGAACCAAUCUCGUCGUAUUUGGUGAAGCAACAAGACCUAAGACCAUCGCUGUACGACUCGUCUUUUACUGCAGACGCAUCUCUUAGGACAACCCACGAUCACAUAUGCAUGACCGUCAGUUAUAUUAACAACAAUCAAUUAAUCACUCAAAGAGGGUGCGAAAGUUACUCGUUUAACGAGACUCUGACGACUUGCGAAUUUUUCCCAACAAUCUUGCCCAACAGGAUCACCAAUUUUACGUGCGAAGUCUGCCACAAUAACCUGUGCAACAAUUCGCCUGUGUUUAAGACAUCUAUAUGGACGAUCGUUUUGGCUGCAACUGCGAUGUUCUUGUUACAUCAAUAAGUAGACAACAAAAUAAAUAACUAAUUGUGUUGCAUUUUUCUAUUGUUUUAUAAAAGAAUAAAUGUGGGAAAUGGAAUUUUUCUAGUGGUUGUGUUUAGAAACCAAUUUCUAAACGCGUUGGCACUUGUUUUGUUAACUUUUUGAAUGUUACAUUGUUGUAUAGAGCGGGAAUAGUUUUAGUUAUCCCCAUUCAUAUAAAAGUAUAUACAUUUGCU